rnacentral:rRNA from 1 species
GGGGAAUAUUGGACAAUGGGGGCAACCCUGAUCCAGCAAUGCCGCGUGAGUGAUGAAGGCCUUCGGGUUGUAAAGCUCUUUUAUCGGGGACGAUGAUGACGGUACCCGAUGAAUAAGCUCCGGCUAACUUCGUGCCAGCAGCCGCGGUAAUACGAAGGGAGCUAGCGUUGUUCGGAAUGACUGGGCGUAAAGGGCGCGUAGGCGGUUUUAUAAGUUUGAUGUGAAAGCCCUGGGCUUAACCUAGGAAUAGCAUUGGAUACUGUAAGACUAGAGUCCGAGAGGGGGAAAUGGAAUUGCGAGUGUAGAGGUGAAAUUCGUAGAUAUUCGCAAGAACACCAGUGGCGAAGGCGAUUUCCUGGCUCGGUACUGACGCUAAGGCGCGAAAGCGUGGGGAGCAAAC